AAAUGCAAAAAUGAAGAAAAGGGAACCUAAUCUCACCUACUUCUGUACCAUAAAGAAAAGAACCAGAGAUUUUUACCCACCCUUCUCUAAAAAGAAAAAGAAGUGUCUCUAUUUAGAGAUUUCUCUACUUAGAUGAAUAAAUCAUACUCCAUCUAUAUUAUUAACGAAUAUGUAUCCCAAUCCAUCUCGAGUAAUUUGUA
rnacentral:lncRNA from 1 species